rnacentral:rRNA from 1 species
AUUGAACGCUGGCGGCAUGCCUAACACAUGCAAGUCGAGCGAGCGUCUGACGUGUGAGUAAUUUAUUGGGACUGCCCUAUCUAGGGGGAUAACUACUGUAACCGGUAGCUAAUACCGCAUACUAUCUGAUACCCCAUAUGGGAUUAGCUCGUAGGUGAGGUAAUGGCUCACCUAGGCGACGAUCCCUAGCUGGUCUGAGAGGAUGAUCAGCCACACUGGGACUGAGACACGGUCCAGACUCCUACGGAGGCAGCAGUGGGGAAUAUUGCACAAUGGGCGCAAGCCUGAUGCAGCCAUGCCGCGUGUAUGAAGAAGGCCCUAGGGUUGUAAAGUACUUUCAGUCGGGAGGCGUUACCGACAGAAGAAGCACCGGCUAACUCCGUGCCAGCAGCCGCGGUAAUUC